rnacentral:rRNA from 1 species
GUGGGGAAUUUUGGACAAUGGGCGCAAGCCUGAUCCAGCCAUGCCGCGUGCAGGAUGAAGGCCUUCGGGUUGUAAACUGCUUUUGUACGGAACGAAAAGACUCUGGUUAAUACCUGGGGUCCAUGACGGUACCGUAAGAAUAAGCACCGGCUAACUACGUGCCAGCAGCCGCGGUAAUACGUAGGGUGCGAGCGUUAAUCGGAAUUACUGGGCGUAAAGCGUGCGCAGGCGGUUAUGUAAGACAGAUGUGAAAUCCCCGGGCUCAACCUGGGAACUGCAUUUGUGACGGCAUAGCUAGAGUACGGCAGAGGGGGAUGGAAUUCCGCGUGUAGCAGUGAAAUGCGUAGAUAUGCGGAGGAACACCGAUGGCGAAGGCAAUCCCCUGGGCCUGUACUGACGCUCAUGCACGAAAGCGUGGAGAGCAAACAGGAUUAGAAACCCGGGUAGUCC